UCAGUCGGUAGAGCAUCAGACUUUUAAU
rnacentral:piRNA from 2 species